CAUCAUCAUGAUAUUGGCUCUGAGGAGGAUCCGGAAUUGUUCUUCGCGACCUCACAAUAUUUCCCUGUAAAUCGUGGCAUUAAAUGGUAUCGAUCACCCCGCAAAAAAUGGCAUCAAUCAUGAUAAUUAGAAAUAAAAUAAUUUACUUUAUUUGAAUGCUCUCCAUAUGGUAGAAAUAAAAUAACUAUUUUAUGCUAUUAAGUUCGACCUUUCCAAUUCUCGUGUUUUCCUUUUUUUCUAACCUAUUACCUCUUUCAUGGAUGACCUAUUAUCGCAUUAAAUAUAGGCCUUUGGAUUAAAAAGAAGGAAAAUGUUUGUUUUCUACCGGAUGAUUUUUCUCAGGCUUAAACCGCCCGCUACGGGCGCCACGCGUCCUGGUAGGGGCUCGCCCACGUGCCGGCCUUAUCUCUUCAUCUUUCAUCUGGAGCGCGCUCGAUCCCCUUCGUCUCUUUUCCACCACAAGCCUGUUUCCAGUAGCCUUAUCUCCUAAAAAACCAGUCGAUCCCCUUCGUUUUCGCACGUGUAUCGCCAUGGCUCCGUCCAAGUGCGACCACCAUGGUCUGCUUCUCAAGCUUCACAUGCUGUUGUUCAAGGUCCACAGCGUUGUGACGCGGUGAUUUUUGUUGACGAAACAGCCGGUGCUGCAACGCAGCCUCGUUGUUGACUUGAUUGCUGUCGGCGCUGCGACUCGACGGUGCUGCCGGUGUUGCUAUGCGACGCUCGUCGACGCCGGUGCUUCGACGCGGCGCUCGCCGGCGCUGCAACGCAGCACACGGGAGGAGAGGUUGAGCUGCUCGCGCGGCUCUGUUGCAACGCAGCACGAAGGCCGGAGUCGGGCGCCGCUCGCCGCCGGUGAUGCAACGCAGCACACAAGGAGGAGGCUCGGCUGCUCGCGUCGGUGUUGCCCUGGAAGCUUUAUCGCGCCGCGGGAGCUGCAAUGGAGCGCCGCCCGGGCUGCGAUGGAGCCGCCGCGGAGCUCCAUUGAAGCUUCGCCGGAGUUGAUGAAGCACUACCGGAGCUGAAACGAAGAGAAGCCGGAGCUACAAUGAAGCGCAGCGGGGGGUCGUUGGAGCUUCGCCAGAGUCAAUGAUGCACCGCCGGAGUUGCAACGAAGCGUCGCCGGAGCUGCAAUGAAGCGCAGCGGGGGGUCGUUGAAGCUUCGCCGGAGUCGAUGAAGCACCGCCGGAGUUGCAACGAAGCGUUGCCGGAGCUGCAAUGAAGCGCAGUAGGGGCUCGUUGAAGCUUCGCCGGAGUCGAUGAGGCACCACCGGAGCUGCAACGAAGAGUCACCGGAGCUGCAAUGAAGCGUUGAGGGGUCGUUGAAGCUCCACUGGAGAUGCAAUGGAGCGUCGCCCUCGCAGGUGAUGCAAUGGAGCGCCGCCGGACGCCGAAGGUGCUGCCACGGGAGCUGCGAGCGGUGAAUGGGUGUUGCACUGGAGAGACGAGGAUUCAAUUUUCUCUUGGGCUGUGCACGUGGCCUAGCUGGCACAAUGGACGGCUGCGCAAAGCCUCAUCUAACGGCUAACGAGGAGGUUUAAAAUUGGGUAGGAUUUGUAGCAGCGCCCUAGAAAGAAUGGACGCUCCGUAAUAAUUAGGGAUAGCAAGGUACUUGCGUUAUCAUGGGUCCCGAAGGAUGGAGCACCUCCACCAGAUCGGUGAAGUUGAUCACUACAAUGGGUCCCGUUGCUGGAGGCGGGGUAGACAGAAGCACAUGUGCAUCCGCGAGCAGUGAGUCUAUGUCGCCUCGACUAGAACAAUUGAAGAUGGGAUCAUGAGGACGAUUAAAGCAAUGAAAAUACUUGCACCCACUCUUGUUCAGAAGCAGAGGUUAAGGUAGUUGAUCAUGGUCCCGACCAAGCUUUGUAUAUCGCCACCGUCCAGCCUGUUGAGACGAACAUAGAGGCACAUGAUUUGCUUGCGCGCAAUCUUGAGGAACCACUUGGCCUUGGUAAGGAGAUAGCUUGGGCGAAGGCCAAGGCUUGACCCCAGACCUUGAUCUGUCGGCUGGUCCAGAAUGUAGGAGCGGGUGAAGAGUACGAGGUGUUCCACCAAAAACUUGCGGCCUUCUUGGUCCAGAUGCAGGCGGAUCAUCUCCGAUAGAAGCGAAAUUACGACAUGCCUCCUGUUGGCGGCAUGGUCAACAAAACACAUGAAAAAUAAACCUCUCCAGACGACGCACCUAAGGACGGCGCAACCAAUGAGGUAAUCAAUGUAGUCUUGAAGUAUGCACAUCAGGCAUCUCUAGAGUAUGAUGCUUCUAUCCUGAUUCCUGAUGGCUCCUAUUCCUACACCUUGACAUCAACCAUUUUUGUUUUGAAUAAUAUCCCAUGUCAUGUGUUUAUGUUA